GCAUCUUACCUGGUUUGGGGAGCAGCCUUAGAGCCUGCUGCACAGAUACUGAGGAGGAGGCAGGGGCUGUGUCUUCUCCUAGGGAGCAGAACCUGUUCUCUCUCUUGCAUAGCUGUGGCCAACACGAUAGCUUUGUCAGCUCUCAUAUGCUGCAGUUCACAAUCCCCUCUGCUUCACCAGAGCAGUUUUUCAAAGGUUCAUAGUGUAAAACACAUCACUCAAAAGAUGCAUAUUCACCUCUUUGAAGAGUUUUGUUUUUCACAUGGCCCUAUUAGCAAUACACUUCCCCAUAUGACAGCAGGCUGAGCAGAGCUUACCAUACGAGUGAUGCUAUCUAAGCACAUCCAAACCCACGAUUGCUUCUGAGCAGAGAUGGAGAAAUGGACAUCAACAAAAGCAAUUCUGGUUUGCCAGGAAGACCCGGUGUGUGAUUUUUACCACAUACCACACAGCAGGCAGGAGAAAACAAACUCCAGAUUAGCUGAAUUCCUUCUGCGACCGAACCUGUGUUUUUGAAAGAGCCUGCUUCAGUACACAAGUGUUUGUGGGAGAUUAGUCCCUAUUAACUAAUAACCUUUGAUUAUGUUUAUUCCCACAGCUUGUUUGCUCAGGUGUUUGUCACACUGAAGCAGAAAUAUGCUUUGGUGACACAGCUUGUUCAUGGCUCAGCCUGCAUUUUUGUGAUUUCUUGGCACCUGAAUGAUGGAUUACUAUUUUCUGAGCGAAUCCCUUCUCUGAAAGGCCUUCCAUGCAAGGAAGGGCUCUGGGUAAUUAGAAAACAAUAACCUUGGCAUACCCUCCUGAUUUGUUUUUAAUGAAAUUAGGUGUGCAGAGGGUAGAUGCUUCGUCCAGAGUCAAAUAGUGAAUAAGUGGCAGAACUGACAUUCCUUGUUCCUGCUCCAUGCCUCCAACAAGCAGUCCAGUCGGCUUCCCCUGCCUUUCCAGGCUGUUGGGUGGUUAAAAGGCUAUCUGUCUGCUUGCUUUUUCAUACAGAAUUAUAACAAAAAAAAGCCAACGUCAUGUAUGGGGAAGCCUUGCACUGACACAGACUGGAUCAGAUUAAUUAACAGAAUGCACACUGCGUCCUCAGCCAGUGCUCAGCAGCUCAGUUGUAGUAAACUGAGCGCAUCGCAGCCAUGUAUGGAUGUUACCUU
rnacentral:lncRNA from 1 species